rnacentral:rRNA from 1 species
AGCGAACGCUGGCGGCAGGCCUAAUACAUGCAAGUCGAACGAAGCCUUCGGGCUUAGUGGCGGACGGGUGAGUAACACGUGGGAACGUACCCUUUGGUUCGGAACAACUCAGGGAAACUUGAGCUAAUACCGAAUGUGCCCCCAUCCUUAAACAAGAGUGGGUGGGAAAGAUUUAUCGCCAUUGGAGCGGCCCGCGUCUGAUUAGCUAGUUGGUGA